CAGCAGAGUGGACUGUAGAGGAGCCAGAAUUCAACUGGGUCUAAUGUGCUGACUUGAGACUCAGAUUGGAGAGGCCGUGGGUGAUCACUCAUCAUUUGAUCUGCGAUAAGCCCCUCCGCUUCCAUGGCCUCAUGGAAUACUGAAGUUUCUCAGUGGAAGCAGUACAGUAUGGCACCAAAUGACCUUGGACUGCUAUUGGUGCCCUCUCAAAAAGAAACAGAUGCAUGACGCCUCUGGCUGUUUCCCCCAUUUACCAGCGCUGGGAGGAAAAGAAGAAUUUAUGUGAAGUUCCGACUGCUGUGGUGUUCUGACUCAGUUCCUUGGGUGUGUUCAGGAGUUUUAACAGAGCCUCCAGAGGCACACGCUCAGAAAACAACAUUUCUACACGCACGAGGGGAUUUGGUCAUGGUAAGCCGGGAAAUGUUACUGUGUGCUUGUGCUGUGUGUGGGUUUUAUGUGCAAAGACAGAUCCACACAUAAUUACAUCAAAGAUGCUUUAAAACUUUUGCCACACAUAUUUGUGGGCUAUAUAUUUUAUCAUUAGACUAUAUUUUGCAUUGUUUCUGUAAAACUAUUUGACAAAAUAAUUAUUUAUUUCUGUUUUUCAGUAUUCUCAGCAACUCUCAGUGAAACAUCACCUCUCACAAAAACAUUAGGAUUGAUAUUUUAUUACUUAUGGUGGCUUGGUGCCUGGAAUGUAUCUCUACAAAUUCAGGAUAUGCAACAUAAAUUUAAAAUAGAUCAAAAAAAUAGAUCCAGUUUUAUUGUGGACAUUUUUUGUUGAUGUAAACAUUGUUAUAGAUGGAACAGCCACGGAUUUAUUUUUUUUUUAUCUUGAAUCUCUUUGAUUCCAUUUGAGAGAACAAAAAAAAUAUUCAGAAUAUCACAAUAUUCCAUAUUUUGCGAUAUCAAAAAUAUUUUUUUUUAGAAUUCCAAGAAAAGUUACAGCCCAGGGGGCUAGUUAUAUUUAUUUGACAAAACUACCCACUUUGAGAGUCUUAGUUUUGGGCCCUGCUUACUCACACUUAUGAACAGAAUAGAUUAGAAGUGAAAACAUAAUUUUUCUUGUAAACACAUUGGAGAAAUCUUUGGUUCCAUUGUUUUUUUUCUAUCUAUUUUUCCCUCAGAAUGGAAAGCAACAUAUAAUUUGCUCCAUAAUUGAAGAGACUUUCACAGUCUUCUAUCAACUUUAGUUUUAUAUCUGAAUCUAAAUAAAGCUACAUUUUUAUACAAACCUGAUUGGAAUUAUUUAUCCGUCAAAUGAGCUAAAAAUGAGCAAAUAUAAACAGGUAAAUCACUUUCAAACAAUAUCUCUAGAAUAGCAUCAGCAAACAGCAGCAUGGCUCACAGAUCAAUCAAGCUCAAAUACAGAGAAAUUUCCCUAAGGUUCGAAGGUAAGAGUCGCAUCUCCAAAAAAGCCUGCAAAUCGCGACAUGGCCUCUUUGCAUCGCCGGCCUUAAUAUCAUUUGGCUGAUGAGGUUUGGCAUUUUUCAUCUUAGCGGGUUUGCCACUGCAGCUCAAGCAAUCAAUGUGAGUUCUGUCUUCAUCUCUCUCUCCACUCAUCCUCUUUAACAUCCUCUGCUGUUAACAUGGUCUGUGGGGAGGGCUCUCACAGCUUCAUGAUAGCCUCAUUAGCUGUUUCCCAACUAUUGUUGUUUUACAACCGAGCUAUGUGCGGAGAGUCGCUCAUUAAGAUAAGGCCUCCUUGUUGUCAGAUGCAACCCUGACAACCCGUUCUGACCUAACGCCAGGAAAUCAGGCAACUUAACUGGCCUCUUUCCCACACAAAUCAAUGGCAGAAUUUUCUUUCCUGCAUAGUUCUGGGACUCGCAGCCGAAUCUUCAUACAGCAGGAGCAGGAUAAACAUGGUGUUUUUUUUUAAUUGAGAGACACAUACAGAUGUGUUAGAUGACUAUAUUUCAAAGAGGAAGAUGAUAGCCUAACUUCAAAAAUAAAAAACCUUAGAGGCCAAUAAAGGAGAAAAGGAAGAGAGGCUGUCUGAGGAAUUAGGCCUCGCUUUUUCACGGCCUCUGCUUUGCCGCUGUAAAGCAGACAAGGGUGUUCGCUACACUGACCGAAGCCCAGUGUUCAAGAUCACUGAACUCUGAAACUAAUCAGAGGUGCUGUUGCUUAUUGUCCUGGAAACAAGCAAGACCUGCAAAAAGGAAGGCUGUCAACCUCCUGAUUACAGAGAUAGAAGAUAAACACUGGUCUAUGUGGAGGCGCAUCACAUCUCAACAUGAACCAGAGCUAUAGAGUUCUCUACGUCUGUCUCGCUCUCACGAAUGCAUGGUUUUAAAUGGGUGCAGAAAGAGAGAGACAGGAAUGACUUCCUUUUUUUAAAACCCAACAGCUCCAGCAAAGUCACCUGCCUUGGAGAUUAAAAUAAAAAAACUUGUAUUUAACGGACACCUUCGUGUUUUGUAACAGUACUGAAAUCUUUGACCUCAAUUUUCAACACUUUCUCACAAGGAAAAACAGACUGCUUCCCCCCGAUCAAUUACAGCAAUGUAAUGUCUGGAUGGCCAAAUUGCUUUAAUCCCCAAUAUAAGUUCCUAAAGUUAUUCAUUAUCAAAUGUGUGCUCAAAGGUUAGUGUGCUAUUGUGAGGCUGAAAUAAACAUUAAUUUGGGCUCUAGGGCCUGCCGGGGCUUCUGGUGACUCAAGACAGAGGCAGUUUGUCACUGGGCCACACAUCAGGUUCCUCAGUCUAGCCAGCAGCGUGUUGUUUGCUGCUCACUGGAGAAUAGCGGGCCACACUUAAAAAAUGGCUCUCUGUCGGAUAUAUUUCAGCCGGAGUUCAUCAGCAGCAUAAGCCGACACAAAGCAGUCUUUUCUUUCACUCUGCCUGCGUAUGCUGCUUUUCUUUCUUACUUUUCUAGCUUGUUUUUUUUUUUUUUUUUUUUUCAGACAUGGAGCUCUGUUGCUUUCAGGCCCGGGCUCUCAGUUUUUUUUUUUUUCCUCCUUUUCCCCUCCCCUCCUUCCAUCUCUCUGAAGAGAUUUGGAACAAGGGGGAUCCCUUCAGCACCUGCUCAGGUUUUCAGCGGGUCGGAGGGGUGCCCAUUUACACGGUACCAUCCUACUGGCACCAGGAAGACUUCCAUUAUAUGGCUCGGCAGGAACAGUGCUUAAGAAUCUGCACUAGUCAUUCAUUGUGAAGGUAUGUGCAAACGGCUUUUUUAAAAGGCUAGUCAUAUCUGGACAGCAUCCAGACUUUUUACUGCAGUUUGAAUAAAUCAUGCCAUUGUUUUUCCCCCCUCUACUACAGUUAAUACAUGAAAGUGUGGAAUGUGCUUGACUCAUUGGGCAAGUACUGCCCCUGAUGCCAAGAGAAGCACAGGUUAGUCCCUCAUAUAACUCUAUCAUCUGUACUUUCUGGGAUUUUAUAGUAUUAUUUAUAAAUGAAUAAUAUUUAUUUAUAAAUGUAUUUAUAUAUUUUUAAGUAUGCAUCUAUUCCAUUAUUUAAAGGAAUGUACUUUACUCCAAGUUUUAUUUAUCUGUUUAUUUUUAUUUUUGUUAGAUUUCAUCCAACAUUAUAGAUUUCAAUCAAAUACAUAAGCUAUUUUAAAACUGCUUUUUCUUUAAGACUUUCGGUACAGAGCAGUAACCCCUAAAACUAAUUGGGUAAACAGUUAACACAAAAAACUCAUCUCCUAUGCCUCGUAGUGCCCUUAAAAUUCCAAUUUCUGUUUUGUAAUGAAGAGUUCAUUAAUCAUUCAUCUUUAAUAGAUUAUGCAAAUCGCACGACAUAAAAUCAACAAGAUCAAUGGCAGCGUGAAUUUUAAUUGGCUCAGGAAAACAUUGCUGGGAAUGAGCAUAAUCUCCAGCUCUAUCCAAUGAGAGGGAGUAAUUUAUUCAGAAUUGGUUCUCAGUGUAAAUGCGUAGGGUAAUUUAGCACCUCCUUUAACUCUGUCCUUAUUCUUAUUUCCAGUUUAUCACAUGCGAGUACACCAUAACAUUACGUUAUUGCAUCUUUGAACUGCUUUUCUUGCUUUUUUUUUUUUUUUAAUAAAUGAAGUUAUUACUGCCAAAAGUCAUUUAGAAUACGACAUGGAACAGUUAAUAUAUAAGACUCUCAAGAAAUGUCAUUUGAGGCUAGACAUUCUGAAAGAGCUUUAGAAUAUAAUUACAACUGUAUUUUAUUUUUUCAGAAAAUGCUGAAUUUAGCAUGCCAGGGGUAGGUAUUAUCAUCAUGCAUGCAUAAACCAACACUGUUUUGAAAUCAUUAACAACAAUAAAAACUUUUGAAAAUCUCUCUACCAGGGCCGUUCCUAUGCUCUACCAGAAGCAAGAGGUGGUCUGCACUAAGACCCCCGGUGUGUCCCGUCCCAGGUGCAAGAAAGGCCACCUGCCAUGAGGGUGCUCCCUAGACCGAGACUGCUUUCAUACAAAGGACAAAAACACACCUUUCUUCUCCAGAGGCCCAACUUUCUGGAGGGAACUCUACCUCCCACAUAUUACAGAGGGGGGAAAAAAGCCCUUUCUUUUCACAUAACAUUAUCCAGCUAUCAUUUGAGAAGGGGGCACAGCAAUUUUCAAUCAUCCUGUCCUCCGCCCACACAGAACUCAUUGGCUUUGAUGGCUCCUGCAUAAUUAUGUGAAUUUUAUUAAAAGCUCAGCGUAUUAAUCUCAGCCCGACAGUUGGCUAUCAGUAAACUUAACCUUCUCUGAGGUAAUAACAGCCGCAACAAUGAAACAAUCUUUCAAUUAGCCAGGCUGACAUUAACCACCGCAUACCACAAGAAAAAAACAAAAACGUUGCAACAAUAAAGGCCAAACCAUGCUAGACCACCAUAUUUCUUUCUGAGAACUAUAAGCUGAAGAAAACCUUUCAGGACACAAUGGAAAAAGUGGUAAAACAAUCCAACGGUUUUUGCACAGUGACAUUGGCCGACAAUUUCCCAUAAUCACUUUGAAUGUUUGGGUCUUGCAUGCAAGUAGCAGCGCCUGUCUGUUUCGAUCGCCUCUCUCUUACACGGCCCCUCAGAGCAGGCAGCACUAAUCCAUCCACUUUAGAUCAACAUGUCACAUUCCACUCUCACCUGUCCGCUCAACUUAUAAAGCUCACUUUACCACAUAAAACACUCACAUAGACUAGAAUAUGAAUGUCCUGCCAGUAUUCUA